rnacentral:rRNA from 1 species
UCGGAGAGUUUGAUCCUGGCUCAGGACGAACGCUGGCGGCGUGCCUAAUACAUGCAAGUCGAGCGAACAGAAGGGAGCUUGCUCCCGGAUGUUAGCGGCGGACGGGUGAGUAACACGUGGGUAACCUGCCUGUAAGACUGGGAUAACUCCGGGAAACCGGAGCUAAUACCGGAUAGUUCCUUGAACCGCAUGGUUCAAGGAUGAAAGACGGUUUCGGCUGUCACUUACAGAUGGACCCGCGGCGCAUUAGCUAGUUGGUGGGGUAAUGGCUCACCAAGGCGACGAUGCGUAGCCGACCU